rnacentral:rRNA from 1 species
CAAGUCGAACGGGUGUAGCAAUACAUCAGAGGCAGACGGGUGAGUAACACGUGGGAACCUUCCUAGGGGUACGGAACAACUCAGGGAAACUUGAGCUAAUACCGUAUACGUCCGUGAGGAGAAAGAUUUAUCGCCCUUAGACGGGCCCGCGUCGGAUUAGCUAGUUGGUGGGUAACGGCCUACCAAGGCGACGAUCCGUAGCUGAUCUUAGAGGAUGAUCAGCCACACUGGGACUGAGACACGGCCCAGACUCCUACGGGAGGCAGCAGUGGGGAAUCUUGGACAAUGGGCGCAAGCCUGAUCCAGCCAUGCCGCGUGAGUGAAGAAGGUCUUCGGAUUGUAAAGCUCUUUUGCCAGGGACGAUAAUGACGGUACCUGGAGAAUAAGCCCCGGCAAACUUCGUG